GAUGGCGUACCCAAGUGGUUAAGGGGCUCGACUGCUAAUCGAGUGCGACAUUCGUGCGCAGGUUCGAAUCCUGCCGUUAUCG